GAUCUCCCUAUAUUUGAAGUGUCGGUUAACCGACUAUGGCGCUAAAUGGCCUUACGAAAUAAGCGGAACGGACCCGGGGGCAGUACCCGGCGCCUCCACCAGUUUCGGGCGGCACGCUGCGGCGGCCGCUCAAAUGGGGGCGAUUCAGGAUCGACGUACGUAGUAAAGGUUUGGCUUGUUCUCGGUAUGGCACCGCCGUUAUCGGGCCAUGGUAAUAUUUGCCAAUGAUAACUUUGCGGGCGAAGCCCGCCUCGCUGCUUAAUUAGCUUUUAGUUAAAUAAGCAAGCGCGGUCCGGGGGGCACCGGGCAACAGAAGCCCCCCAC
rnacentral:tmRNA from 1 species